rnacentral:rRNA from 1 species
UACGAAGGGUGCAAGCGUUAUUCGGAAUUACUGGGCGUAAAGCGUGCGUAGGUGGUUUGUUAAGUCUGAUGUGAAAGCCCUGGGCUCAACCUGGGAAUUGCAUUGGAUACUGGCAGGCUAGAGUGCGGUAGAGGGUAGUGGAAUUCCCGGUGUAGCAGUGAAAUGCGUAGAGAUCGGGAGGAACACCCGUGGCGAAGGCGACUACCUGGACCAGCACUGACGCUGAGGCACGAAAGCGUGGGGAGCAAACAGG